rnacentral:misc_RNA from 1 species
AACUUUCAACAAUGGAUCACUUUGUUCUGGCAUCGAUGAAGAACGCAGCGAAAUGCGAUAAGUAAUGUGAAUUGCAGAAUUUUGUGAAUCAUCGAAUCUUUGAACGCACAUUGCGCCCCUUGGUAUUCCGAGGGGCACACCUGUUCGAGCGCCGUUUUAAAACUAAGGCUCAGCCUUGCGUUGACCGUUCCGAAAUGGCGGAUUGGUCGAAAAAUAUAAAGACUCCAAAGUGGAAGCAGUACGCAACAGUAUUCGCGACCCCCAGAAAAGUCUUGAUUUACUCAGUAUGGCCUCGGAUCAGGUGGGGUUACCCGCUGAACUUAAGCAUAUCAAUAAGCGGAGGCU